rnacentral:rRNA from 1 species
GAUGAACGCUGGCGGCGUGCCUAAUACAUGCAAGUCGAGCGAACAGACGAGGAGCUUGCUCCUCUGACGUUAGCGGCGGACGGGUGAGUAACACGUGGAUAACCUACCUAUAAGACUGGGAUAACUUCGGGAAACCGGAGCUAAUACCGGAUAAUAUAUUGAACCGCAUGGUUCAAUAGUGAAAGACGGUUUUGCUGUCACUUAUAGAUGGAUCCGCGCCGCAUUAGCUAGUUGGUAAGGUAACGGCUUACCAAGGCAACGAUGCGUAGCCGACCUGAGAGGGUGAGCGGACACACUGGAACUGAGACACGGUCCAGACUCCUACGGGAGGCAGCAGUAGGGAAUCUUCCGCAAGGGGCGAAAGCCUGACGGAGCAACGCCGCGUGAGUGAUGAAGGUCUUCGGAUCGUAAAACUCUGUUAUUAGGGAAGAACAAAUGUGUAAGUAACUAUGCACGUCUUGACGGUACCUAAUCAGAAAGCCACGGCUAACUACGUG